AGUCCAAUAAAGGUUCAACAAUAGCUGAGACAGGACCCACCCAAGGAGUUUACUCCUCAGGGAAUCAAACUAGCUGCUCAGUCGUCAUCAGAUCAAACCAGACUUACUCACAGGCCUACAGAGCUACACAACAAUAUUCUAUGAAUAGCACUUUGCUUACUUAUGCCUACAACAAAAGUGUAUGCUUGCUGCACACAUGCAUAUCUGACUAUGAUUACCACCGUUUGUCUUCAUGAGGAUUUACUGCUCACCUUGGAUGUAUGGCUGGCUUGUCACUUUAGUUUCAGAAUGGCUGUGACUUUAGACGACGAACAGCUUUUUUUAACAAGUAAAACUGAGGUACAACAAGCAAGUGCAGCAUUUCUCUGGUGAGACACAUAUGAUGUGAACUCGUGUACCCCAAGUACUUGCAAGGUGACUUCCUGGUGAUUAACUUCUGUAUUAUUGGUGUUCAAAGUUUUAUUUACAUUUGAAGGUGUCAUACACUAUGACCUCAUAUGACAGCAUUAGUGAUAGUCCCGGCGAUCAUAAGCAUGUGCUAGGAUGUGAGCUUGUUGCUAAGUUGUGCUGAUGAUGUUAUCUGCUGGAUGCAGGGGAACCUCUUGAUAUUGACCCGACAGUGCUCUGGGACUAGACCUUGAAUGAGAGGUUCUACCAUAUGCUGUGAAAGUACGAUGAAGCCUGGUUUUCAUCUUUGGGGAAUCGACAUGAAUGGCUGCAUUUGAUUUCUGGCUUACUUGUCUACCAUGCAUGUGGACACUCCCUUGUCGACAUCCAGCUGCAUCUCCAG